AGUGAACGCUGGCGGUAGGCCUAACAUAUGCAAGUCGAACGGCAGCACAGAGGAGCUUGCUCCUUGGGUGGCGAGUGGCGGACGGGUGAGGAAUACAUCGGAAUCUACUCUGUCGUGGGGGAUAACGUAGGGAAACUUACGCCAAUACCGCAUACGACCUACGGGGGAAAGCAGGGGCCCUUCGGGCCUUGCGCGAUGGAAUGAGCCGAUGUCGGAUUAGCUAGUUGGCGGGGUAAAGGCCCACCAAGGCGACGAUCCGUAGCUGGUCUGAGAGGAUGAUCAGCCACACUGGAACCGAGACACGGUCCAGACUCCUACGGGAGGCAGCAGUGGGGAAUAUUGGACAAUGGGCGCAAGCCUGAUCCAGCCAUACCGCGUGGGUGAAGAAGGCCUUCGGGUUGUAAAGCCCUUUUGUUGGGAAAGAAAUCCAGCUGGCUAAUACCCGGUUGGGAUGACGGUACCCAAAGAAUAAGCACCGGCUAACUUCGUGCCAGCCGCCGCAGUAA
rnacentral:rRNA from 1 species